GAGAAGGAUCUUUUGUUGGUGAAGCUUUCUUCUGUAAGCCUGGAAUCUUCUGAUACGUCAACGCAGUACCAAAGCACAACAGGUGACACAAAGGACCAGGAGGCAAGCAAGGCUAUCCAUGGAGUUCACAGGUCAAAAGUUAGAAUCCUGCCCAAAGCUUGUGAGCGGUAAAUAGACCCCAUCUGACAGUCCCAAAGAAGAAUUUUCUGUGAAGGUCAGGUCUUAAUACCAUGUGCCAGAGGGCAUGACCACAAUGCAGGUACACCAGAGCCAUUCCCAGGAACUGCAGGAUUUUUGGCAGGCAGAAGGGCAGUGUCUCCACACAGCUGCACAUUCAGUGAG
ensembl:lncRNA